UGGUGGACCAGCAGAUAUUUUCACCCACAUAUUGGUCUUCACCUCUAUAUUCUACACAGUCAAACAGCUGUUGAAAGGUUUGCUCAUGAGGACAAGGGUGAUUUUGCAACUUCACUAAAGCAUUUUAGAGUCAAAACCUCUACAGAGGAGUAGAAAGAAUGUAAGCCACCUGUACAGCAGAGCUAGCAAGACCUAGAUCCCCUUCCACCACCCAGUACCAUAUUAUAUAAACACCUGCCCAAACUCGUUUGAACAAUGAGCAACCAAAGGUUGCCCAUAUUUUGAUGUUUUUAUAACUGCUUGAUCUAUUAAAAUAUGUCCAAUAUUUUCACACAUAAAACAUGUUAUUAGUUUAUUUUUUGUAACUUAAGCUUGCUAAACUAAGCAUGAUACCACUUUUUA